GAUAGCGAGCAUCAACAAGGAUUUAUCCGGAACAUUCACUAAUGCCGAUACACAAUGGCGCUUCAACCCACCAGCUACGCCUCACAUGGGAGGGGCCUGGGAGCGCCUUGUGAGGUCGGUGAAGGCUGGAUUGAAAACUAUUUCAUCGGAAAGAAGACCAGACGAAGAAACCUUCUAUACCUAUUUAACGGAAGUGGAGUCCAUUAUCAAUUCCCGCCCGUUAACACAUGUACCACUGGAAUGCGAAGCUGAUGAGGCCAUUACACCUAACCACUUCUUGUUAUUAAGUUCCAGCGGCGUAGUACAGCCAGCACAGAUGUUAUUGGACGAGCGCAAAGCAUUAAGGACCAAUUGGAACCAUAUUAGACAUCUGUUGGAUCUAUUUUGGUCCAAAUGGAUUAAGGAGUAUCUGCCUCUAGUUAAUUGUAGGUCCAAGUGGUUGUCGGAAUCUAAGCCACUGCAAGUUGGCGAUUUAGUGAUGCUAGUGGACGCUGGUUUACGAAACAACUGGAAGCGUGGCAGGAUUGUGAAGGUAUACGGAGGAAAGGAUGGAACAAUACGGCGAGCAGAUGUUCAGACUACCAACGGGACGAUGCAGAGAUCAGUAACAGGCUUAGUCGUGCUUGAGGUGAUGAAGCACAGUAUGGCUGAUCAGGGUGGUCAGCAAUACGGGUCGGGGAAUGUUGAAGAUCGGAAUCACCUUGGCAACACUGAUACCUAGCCAGGCUGAGCUCAACAUCACCACCAGGGUAGAAGCGUCAAGAUGACGGUUGACAAUUGACAUUGACAUGCGUGACACAGAAAUAGACUUAAGGGAAAUGAGACGAAAACAAUAAUAAAUUAUAAAAAAGAACAUUGGAUUAGUAAGACACGUGAAGAAUAAAAUUAAAUACAGUGAAUUAUUUGGAUUACACAAUUUAUUAAAUAACACAAUCAUACGUUGACACAUACGACGAUUGUUAGUGUAACGAAACAUUACCAGAUUGACACGGACAAGUUUAUAAAUAAAAGGACUUAGAAUUCUUAAAGCAUACUCCAGCACAUAAACCGAGUUGCUAGAUAGAGCGUCCGAAAGCCCGUGUCGAUAACUGGCCACAACA